CGGGAUGGACAUACCUCUGGUGUACCAGUUGUCGUGCCAACGGCAUAGCUGGGUAGCUAUGUAUGGACGGGAUAAGUGCUGAAAGCAUCUAAGCAUGAAGCCCCCCUCAAGAUGAGAUUUCCCAACUUCGGUUAUAAGAUCCCUCGAAGAUGACGAGGUUAAUAGGUUCGAGGUGGAAGCGUGGUGACACGUGGAGCUGACGAAUACUAAUCGAUCGAAGACUUAAUCAA
rnacentral:rRNA from 1 species